rnacentral:lncRNA from 1 species
CAAAUCAAACAAACUAAGGAAGGCAUUUUCAUUCAUCAAACUAAGUAUACAAAGGAAAUACUAAAGAAGUUUGGGAAUGAAAAUCGUAAGGGAGUAGGCACUCCAAUGAAUCCUACUAGUAAGCUAGACAAAGAUGAAAAAGGGAAGAGUAUUGAUAUUAAGCUUUAUAGAGGACUAAUUGGAUCCUUGCUCUACCUUACUGCUAGUAGACCCGACAUCGUAUUUAGUGUAGGAAUAUGUGCUAGAUACCAAUCGGAUCCUAAGGAGUCACAUUUAAGUGCUGUUAAAAGAAUCCUUAGAUAUUUAAGAGGAACUACCAAUAUAGGAUUAUGGUACUCAAGAGACUCCUGUCUAGAUUUGCUUGCAUAUUCAGAUGCUGAUUUUGCCGGAUGCAAAUUAGAUAGGAAGAGCACAAGUGGCACAUGUCAAUUCUUAGGAAAUAAUUUAAUAUCAUGGUUUAGCAAAAAGCAGAAUUCAGUGGGACUGUCCACAGCUAAAGCUGAAUAUAUAGCUGCUGGUAGUUGUUGUGCUCAAAUACUAUGGCUUAAGCAACAACUAGAGGACUAUGGAGUUAAGCUAGAUAAUAUUCCUAUUAAAUGUGAUAA